UCAUCAUGCGCCGGAACAAAGAUCCGGCGCCCAUGGAGAAGCAGUCCGUCAGCGAAGCGCCAGGGCUCCUCCAGGUCUCCGGCCGUGAGUUGCUGCUGGAGAAGAACGGCGUCGUCGGCUGUUGCAGUUGCGCGGCGAAUGUCGGCGAAGAGGCCGAACGUCGGCCCGGAGCGGACGCACAGGGACGCCCCAGCGGACUCGUCGGUGGAAGGAGCGAGAUCGGAGUC
rnacentral:lncRNA from 1 species